AACGAACGCUGGCGGCAUGCCUAACACAUGCAAGUCGAACGAUGCCUUCGGGCAUAGUGGCGCACGGGUGCGUAACGCGUGGGAAUCUGCCUUUCGGUUCGGAAUAACUCAGGGAAACUUGAGCUAAUACCGGAUAACGUCGCAAGACCAAAGAUUUAUCACCGAAAGAUGAGCCCGCGUAGGAUUAGCUAGUUGGUGAGGUAAAGGCUCACCAAGGCGACGAUCCUUAGCUGGUCUGAGAGGAUGAUCAGCCACACUGGGACUGAGACACGGCCCAGACUCCUACGGGAGGCAGCAGUGGGAAUAUUGGACAAUGGGCGAAAGCCUGAUCCAGCAAUGCCGCGUGAGUGAUGAAGGCCUUAGGGUUGUAAAGCUCUUUUACCCGGGAAGAUAAUGACGGUACCGGGAGAAUAAGCCCCGGCUAACUCCGUG
rnacentral:rRNA from 1 species